rnacentral:rRNA from 1 species
UACGUAGGUGGCAAGCGUUGUCCGGAAUUAUUGGGCGUAAAGCGCGCGCAGGCGGUCCUUUAAGUCUGAUGUGAAAGCCCACGGCUCAACCGUGGAGGGUCAUUGGAAACUGGGGGACUUGAGUGCAGGAGAGAAGAGUGGAAUUCCACGUGUAGCGGUGAAAUGCGUAGAGAUCAUGAGGAAGACCAGUGGCGAAGGCGGGUCUCUGGACAGUUCCUGACACUGAGGCACGAAGGCCAGGGGAGCAAACGGG